GGACGGGUUCCGAUGAAGUAGCAAUACUUCAUCGGGAUUAGUGGCGGACGGGUGAGUAACACGUAGGUAACCAACCUUUGGGCGGGGGACAACCCCGAGAAAUCGGGGCUAAUACCGCAUAAGACCACGGGCUGAAAAGCCAGUGGGAAAAGUGGCAACACACCCAGAGACGGGCCUGCGACCUAUCAGGUAGUUGGUGAGGUAAGAGCUCACCAAGCCAGAGACGGGUAGCCGGGCUGAGAGGUUGAACGGCCACACUGGAACUGAGACACGGUCCAGACUCCUACGGGAGGCAGCAGUGGGGAAUCUUGCGCAAUGGGGGAAACCCUGACGCAGCGACGCCGCGUGGAGGACGAAGGUCUUCGGGUGUAAACUCCUUUUGUAGGGGAAAAUGAUGAUGGUACCCUACGAAUAAGCCACGGCUAACUCUGUG
rnacentral:rRNA from 1 species